GACGAACGCUGGCGGCGUGCUUAACACAUGCAAGUCGAGCGGUAAGGCCUUUCGGGGUACACGAGCGGCGAACGGGUGAGUAACACGUGGGUGAUCUGCCCUGCACUUCGGGAUAAGCCUGGGAAACUGGGUCUAAUACCGGAUAUGACCUCCUAUCGCAUGGUGGGUGGUGGAAAGAUUUAUCGGUGCGGGAUGGGCCCGCGGCCUAUCAGCUUGUUGGUGGGGUAAUGGCCUACCAAGGCGACGACGGGUAGCCGACCUGAGAGGGUGACCGGCCACACUGGGACUGAGACACGGCCCAGACUCCUACGGGAGGCAGCAGUGGGGAAUAUUGCACAAUGGGCGAAAGCCUGAUGCAGCGACGCCGCGUGAGGGAUGACGGCCUUCGGGUUGUAAACCUCUUUCAGCAGGGACGAAGCGCAAGUGACGGUACCUGCAGAAGAAGCACCGGCUAACUACGUG
rnacentral:rRNA from 1 species